UUCACAGCGGCGCCACUGUUCACGCCGCCACUGUUCACGGGCAGCGCCACUGUUCACGGCCAGCCCAUUUUUGCCCCCUUCUACACAAUUAAUUGGAGAGAUUUGAAGAUCAAGAGGAGGAAAAAGAUGGAGCUCAUGGUAGCCAUGGCAACUCACGGCCAUGGCUUUCUUGAAGACAUUUCAUGGUGAAAAAUUAGAGCUUGUCUCUAAGACCUUGGGGAGCCCGAGGCGUAGAUUUGGAUUAGCUUUAGAUUGGCUAUCUUGGAAGUGCGUUCGAGGUACCGACGACAGGUUUGCUGAUCCGUCCGUCUAGGAUAUCUUUUCUGCCAUUUGGAGCGCUCUUUUAUUCAGAGCCCAUCUUUUGGUACAGUCUGUCACUACUGUAUUUAUAUAUUCUCGUUCAUGGGUACGGCGGGGCCCUGUCCCAUCAUAUGAUUCUGUCGGUCUGUUUAGAGGUCUGUAGACAUGUUUGUGGGUUGGGGUCUUUCUGUACGGAUGCGUGUAUAUGUUGUGUUUGGGCGAUCCCAUUCGCCGCGGCGGCCGGUCCGCAUAUGUGUAAAUGUUGCUUUGUUGGCCCUGGGCGGUCAUUGUUGGUAUUA